CGGAGGCUACCGCUAUUGGAGUUCGAUUAAGCCAUGCGAGUCGCGAGUCUUAGGGACUCGGCGUACCGCUCAGUAACACGUGGGUAACCUGCCCUAUGCUGGGGAAUAACCUCGGGAAACUGAGAAUAAUGCCCCAUAGUUCACCACGCCUGGAACGGUGGGUGGAUCAAAGCUCCCGCGGCAUAGGAUGGGCCUGCGGCGUAUCAGGUCGUAGGGGGUGUAAUGUACCCUCUAGCCAUCGACGCGUACGGGUGUUGGGAGACAUUGCCCGGAGAUGGAUUCUGAGACACGAAUCCAGACCCUACGGGGUGCAGCAGGCGCGAAAACUUGGCAAUGCGAGAAAUCGUGACCAGGGAACUCCAAGUGCAUCGGGUAAGACCGAUGCUUUUCUUGACUCUUCAACGGUCUUGGAAUAAGGGGUGGGUAAGGACGGUGCCAGCCGCCGCGGUAAUACCGGCGCCUCAAGUGGUAGUCGCUUUUAUUGGGCCUAAAACGUCCGUAGCCGGUUUGGUACAUUCGUGGGUAAAUCAAGGCGCUCAACGUCUUGAAUUCUGCGAGCACGGCCAGACUUGGGACCGGGUGAGGUGUGGGGUACUCUCAGGGUAGGGGUAAAAUCCCGUCAUCCUGAGAGGACCACCUGUUGCGAAGGCGCCACACUAGAACGGAUCCGACGGUCAGGGACGAAGCCUAGGGGCACGAACCGGAUUAGAUACCCGGGUAGUCCUAGGUGUAAACGCUGUGGACUUGAUGUUGGGAGUGCUCCGAGCACCCUCAGUGUCGAAGCGAAGGUGAUAAGUCCACUGCCUGGGGAGUACGGUCGCAAGGCUGAAACUUAAAGGAAUUGGCGGGG
rnacentral:rRNA from 1 species